rnacentral:rRNA from 1 species
AUGAACGCUGGCGGCGUGCCUAAUACAUGCAAGUCGAGCGAACAGACGAGGAGCUUGCUCCUCUGACGUUAGCGGCGGACGGGUGAGUAACACGUGGAUAACCUACCUAUAAGACUGGGAUAACUUCGGGAAACCGGAGCUAAUACCGGAUAAUAUAUUGAACCGCAUGGUUCAAUAGUUAAAGACGGUUUUGCUGUCACUUAUAGAUGGAUCCGCGCCGCAUUAGCUAGUUGGUAAGGUAGCGGCUUACCAAGGCGACGAUGCGUAGCCGACCUGAGAGGGUGAUCGGCCACACUGGAACUGAGACACGGUCCAGACUCCUACGGGAGGCAGCAGUAGGGAAUCUUCCGCAAUGGGCGAAAGCCUGACGGAGCAACGCCGCGUGAGUGAUGAAGGUCUUCGGAUCGUAAAACUCUGUUAUUAGGGAAGAACAAAUGUGUAAGUAACUAUGCACGUCUUGACGGUACCUAAUCAGAAAGCCACGGCUAACUACGUG